rnacentral:rRNA from 1 species
CAAGCGGUGGAGCAUGUGGUUUAAUUCGAUGCAACGCGAAGAACCUUACCUGGCCUUGACAUCCACGGAAUUUGGCAGAGAUGCCUUAGUGCCUUCGGGAACCGUGAGACAGGUGCUGCAUGGCUGUCGUCAGCUCGUGUUGUGAAAUGUUGGGUUAAGUCCCGCAACGAGCGCAACCCUUAUCCUUUGUUGCCAGCACGUAAUGGUGGGAACUCAAAGGAGACUGCCGGUGAUAAACCGGAGGAAGGUGGGGAUGACGUCAAGUCAUCAUGGCCCUUACGGCCAGGGCUACACACGUGCUACAAUGGCGCAUACAAAGAGAAGCGACCUCGCGAGAGCAAGCGGACCUCAUAAAGUGCGUCGUAGUCCGGAUCGGAGUCUGCAACUCGACUCCGUGAAGUCGGAAUCGCUAGUAAUCGUAGAUCAGAAUGCUACGGUGAAUACGUUCCCGGGCCUUGUACACACC